UACGUAGGGGGCAAGCGUUGUCCGGAUUUAUUGGGCGUAAAGAGCGUGUAGGCGGCCUGAAAGGUCAGCUGUGAAAACUCGAGGCUCAACCUCGAGACGUCGGUUGAAACCAUCUGGCUAGAGUCCGGAAGAGGAGUGUGGAAUUCCCGGUGUAGCGGUGAAAUGCGCAGAUAUCGGGAAGAACACCAGUGGCGAAGGCGACUUACUGGACACAUAUUGACGCUGAGGUGCGAAAGCGUGGGGAGCAAACAGG
rnacentral:rRNA from 1 species